rnacentral:rRNA from 1 species
CCUACGGGAGGCAGCAGUGAGGAAUAUUGGUCAAUGGACGAGAGUCUGAACCAGCCAAGUAGCGUGAAGGAUGACUGCCCUAUGGGUUGUAAACUUCUUUUAUAAAGGAAUAAAACGAGGCACGUGUGCCUUUUUGCAUGUACUUUAUGAAUAAGGAUCGGCUAACUCCGUGCCAGCAGCCGCGGUAAUACGGAGGAUCCGGGCGUUAUCCGGAUUUAUUGGGUUUAAAGGGAGCGUAGAUGGGUUGUUAAGUUGGUUGUGAAAGUUUGCGGCUCAACCGUAAAAUUGCAAUUGAUACUGGCAGUCUUGAGUACAGUUGAGGUAGGCGGAAUUCGUGGUGUAGCGGUGAAAUGCUUAGAUAUCACGAAGAACCCCGAUUGCGAAGGCAGCUUACUAAACUGUAACUGACGUUGAGGCUCGAAAGCGUGGGGAGCAAACAGGAUUAGAUACCCCGGUAGUC